GAACCUGAAACCGUGUGCUUACAAGUAGUCAGAGCCCGUUAAUGGGUGAUGGCGUGCCUUUUGUAGAAUGAACCGGCGAGUUACGAUUUGAUGCAAGGUUAAGCAGUAAAUGUGGAGCCGUAGCGAAAGCGAGUCUGAAUAGGGCGUUUAGUAUUUGGUCGUAGACCCGAAACCAGGUGAUCUACCCUUGGUCAGGUUGAAGUUCAGGUAACACUGAAUGGAGGACCGAACCGACUUACGUUGAAAAGUGAGCGGAUGAACUGAGGGUAGCGGAGAAAUUCCAAUCGAACCUGGAGAUAGCUGGUUCUCUCCGAAAUAGCUUUAGGGCUAGCCUCAAGUGAUGAUUAUUGGAGGUAGAGCACUGUUUGGACGAGGGGCCCCUCUCGGGUUACCGAAUUCAGACAAACUCCGAAUGCCAAUUAAUUUAACUUGGGAGUC
rnacentral:rRNA from 1 species